rnacentral:lncRNA from 1 species
UAUGUGAUAUUUUACCCUCAAGGUGGUCAUAACUCACAGGUUGAGAACCACUGGUCUAAGUCUAGGUAUGUCCUUAAAUUUUAUAAUAUUCCCUUAAAUUAUUUGAAAUACCACAGAUCCCCAGAAACUCCAAAAAACAAACCAAAAUACAUAGCCAAGCUGACCAUUGUCAUGUGCUUCAGUUCAUCUGUAUCUUUGUGCUGUACUGCUGUAGGGUGGAGAUGGAUCUCUUCACGCAUGCUCCAUUUUUAAGGGAAAUUAAAAGGAGCUAGUAGUAUCAUACGUAUUAGAAACCACAGUGAGUACACAUGGUCAAUACCAUUUAGGACAACUGUAAUCUUUCUUUCAUACCUAAAGAAACCUAUUUUAUUUCGUGUGUCUCCAGAGAAGAUGUCGAUUCUGAGGUCCUGUCAGGUAGCUUCUCACGGGGAAUAAAUUAAGGUGGGACUGAAAUCUAGAAAUUGUAUUAACAUUUAAAAAGAGGUCUUAUCAGCUCAAAUCCUAAGCUAGGAAGCUGUUAGCCACAUAUCAGCACAAUACAAGAAAUUACCUUGACUAUAGCAUCUCUCUUUAAGCAUCAGCUAAUCUAAAAAUUAUCUGUCGACACAGAAGAGAGAAAUGUGAGCACCGACGGAUAAACUGCCCAUCUCCUUUUCACAGUUUUCAAACUCUUCCCAGCAAAAGCUGGCACAGUCACUGAAUGAGGCAUUUCCCCUUUCCUUGGUCUGUGCUUGAUCUCCAGCACAAUGGCAGCCAACACACAGCCUUGACACAGGGGCUGUGCAGUUCUCAUUGAGAGCAUGCUUGGUUUGUAACGCUGAGGUCAAAUGGGCUUGGGAGAAAUCAGACAACCUCAGUCAUGCUGAGGCUUGAGCUCAGAGGCCUCGUGCUGGGAAGAAGAAGAAAAGCUACCUUUGAGUUCUCAUAUUACUCCUUGUGAAGAAAGACCGUUUCAGAGAAUGACUGCAGUCUCUUCCUCUGAAAGUUUCCAUCCUGUGUCCCGACCCCUGAUGCUGAAAACAUGUCUUCGUUAUACCCAGAUGUCCACACUUGACUUAGUUUUUGGAUCUGUCUAUUCUGGUAAUGAAGUAGAAAUGAGUAAAAAGAAAAAUACCUUCUUGUUUCUUACCCUGUUUGGCUGAGGAAGUCAUUUUAAAUGCUUCCUUUUCUCUUUAACCACACCUAAAUCACUGUCAAGUUGGGUAAGCAUUAGCCUGUAAACAUUGCUCACUUCAUCCACUACUUCUAAGCCAGUGUAGUCUCUCACCUCUCACCUCUGAUGAAUCUUGCCCACUCUCCAUGCCCUCAUCCUUGUACCUUCCAUAAUACUGCUUCCACUUUGGUUAGCGUGAUCUACAGAAAUGAAAAGCUGUGAGCACCUGCUUUUCGGCUUAAGAGCCUUCACUUGGUCUCUAUCACUGGCAGGAGAUCUUGGUAAACAUUUGUCAAUCAAUGUAGGCAUCAUCCUUUAUCCCACAGACUAGCAGUCUUCAUGUCUAGGAAAUCAACUGGUCCCACAACCUGCAGACUGUUGUCUACUGGAUCAAAACUAUAUAUAUAUAUAUUUUUUUUUUUUUUCUUCCUUACUAGACUGGGAACUGCCCAAGGAAUUCAUGUGUAGGAAAUCUGUUUUCCUUCUCACAUGUGUCUUGGGAAGAUGUCAUCUGCUGAAUCAGACAGGGAUUACUAAAAGAACAUUGGAGUUUGGAUGUUGGAGCUUGUCCUAUCCCUCUAGCUCCUCCCUACCCCUACACAGAUGUUCACAGUAGCAUUGCUCAUAACAGGCAAAAAAAUGUUGAGUGUAAAAACAAAAUGUACUACAGCUGCACAACAGAAUAGUCAUAAACUGGAGUUCUGAUACUUUAUCACAUCACACACGAAACUUGAAAAUAGCUAUGUGAAAGACGCCAGAUACAAAACGACACACAUACUGUGAUUUCAAACAUAGGAUAUGUCCUGAAUGGGCAAGUAGAGACAAGAAGUAGAGGAGUGGUUGCCAGGGGCUGGAGGGAGAGCAUGACGGGAACUGAUGGCUCCUGCGAUGGACGUUUCCUUUUCGUGUAAUGAAAAUGUUUUACAGAAAUGGUGGUCCACUCACAACUCCCAUUGUAUUAAAAAAAAUCCCUUAAUCGUGUUUUUAACAAGAAGAACUUUAUGAUACGUGAAUUACAUUUCAGUAAAGUUAUUUCAACCCAAAUAUCAACACUAACCACAUCUUAACUUAUAUCAAAUAUAUCAGAAUUUCUGAGAGUAAGAGGUUGUGGAUAUGCGUUUUCUUUUUAAGUUCUAUAUGUAUUGAAAUACUGAUAAUUAUAUAGAUGAUAAAAGUUAGUAGAGAUUUAAUUCUGUGUACUCACCUUCUACCCAAAGC